rnacentral:ribozyme from 1 species
GGUCAUAUCUGCAUUUGUAGGUAUGACCGUCCUCAGUAAAUGACAAACCUGUGGGGCGUAAGUAACUAAGUAGUAAUACUAUAAUGUCAGUAUGUAGUAUUACACUGAAACUGACUGUUAUGAUCGUGCGGACGUAAAAAUCAGGU